GACGAACGCUGGCGGCGUGCUUAACACAUGCAAGUCGAACGGUGAAGCGCCUUCCUUUUUGGUGGGUGUGGAUGAGUGGCGAACGGGUGAGUAACACGUGAGUAACCUGCCCCCUUCUUCUGGAUAACCGCAUGAAAGUGUGGCUAAUACGGGAUAUUCUGGGUCUGUCGCAUGAUGGGUCUGGGAAAGAUAUUGUUUCGGUGGGGGAUGGGCUCGCGGCCUAUCAGCUUGUUGGUGGGGUGAUGGCCUACCAAGGCGGUGACGGGUAGCCGGCCUGAGAGGGUGGACGGGCACACUGGGACUGAGACACGGCCCAGACUCCUACGGGAGGCAGCAGUGGGGAAUAGUGCACAAUGGGCGCAAGCCUGAUGCAGCGACGCCGCGUGAGGGAUGGAGGCCUUCGGGUUGUGAACCUCUUUCGCCAGUGAAGCAGGCCUGCCUCGUUUGUGGGUGGGUUGACGGUAGCUGGAUAAGAAGCGCCGGCUAACUACGUG
rnacentral:rRNA from 1 species